rnacentral:tRNA from 1 species
GUGGGUAUAGCUUAGUGGUAGAGCACAUGCAUAGCAUGCAUGAGGUUCUGGGUUCAAUCCCCAGUACCUCCA